UGAUUCAUGUGAUCCCCUCCAAGC
rnacentral:piRNA from 2 species